UCACAUUGACUCUGGCGCCGUUUUGAUUGUUGCUCAGAAAGCCUUAUGCUUCUGGUCGGCUUUCGGGUAACAAUUAAAAAUAGCGAGAGAGUUUUCAUCUC
rnacentral:pre_miRNA from 1 species